rnacentral:rRNA from 1 species
GACCGCUCACACUGGGACUGAGACACGGCCCAGACUCCUACGGGAGGCAGCAGUGGGGAAUAUUGCACAAUGGGCGGAAGCCUGAUGCAGCGACGCCGCGUGAGGGAUGAAGGCCUUCGGGUUGUAAACCUCUUUCAGCAGGGACGAAGCGUGAGUGACGGUACCUGCAGAAGAAGCACCGGUCUAACUACGUGCCAGCAGCCGCGGUAAUACGUAGGGUGCGAGCGUUGUCCGGAAUUACUGGGCGUAAAGAGUUCGUAGGCGGUUUGUCGCGUCGUUUGUGAAAACCCGGGGCUCAACUUCGGGCUUGCAGGCGAUACGGGCAGACUUGAGUGUUUCAGGGGAGACUGGAAUUCCUGGUGUAGCGGUGAAAUGCGCAGAUAUCACGAGGAACACCGGUGGCUAAGCC